AUGUGUCAAGUCAUUAAAAAUGUGCAGUCACUAGAAACUCGGCAAGUCACUAGGAAUGCGUCAAGGCAC
ensembl:ncRNA B0454.25 ncRNA